rnacentral:rRNA from 1 species
CGGGAGGGGAUUAGUGGCGAACGGGUGAGUAACACGUGGGCAAUCUGCCCUUCACUCUGGGACAAGCCCUGGAAACGGGGUCUAAUACCGGAUACGACCACCGACCGCAUGGUCUGGUGGUGGAAAGCUCCGGCGGUGAAGGAUGAGCCCGCGGCCUAUCAGCUUGUUGGUGGGGUGAUGGCCUACCAAGGCGACGACGGGUAGCCGGCCUGAGAGGGCGACCGGCCACACUGGGACUGAGACACGGCCCAGACUCCUACGGGAGGCAGCAGUGGGGAAUAUUGCACAAUGGGCGAAAGCCUGAUGCAGCGACGCCGCGUGAGGGAUGACGGCCUUCGGGUUGUAAACCUCUUUCAGCAGGGAAGAAGCGAAAGUGACGGUACCUGCAGAAGAAGCGCCGGCUAACUACGUGCCAGCAGCCGCGGUAAUACGUAGGGCGCAAGCGUUGUCCGGAAUUAUUGGGCGUAAAGAGCUCGUAGGCGGCUUGUCACGUCGGAUGUGAAAGCCCGGGGCUUAACCCCGGGUCUGCAUUCGAUACGGGCAGGGCUAGAGUUCGGUAGGGGAGAUCGGAAUUCCUGGUGUAGCGGUGAAAUGCGCAGAUAUCAGGAGGAACACCGGUGGCGAAGGCGGAUCUCUGGGCCGAUACUGACGCUGAGGAGCGAAAGCGUGGGGAGCGAACAGGAUUAGAUA